rnacentral:rRNA from 1 species
GGGUCCGCGUUCCAUUAGCUAGUUGGUAGGGUAAAGGCCUACCAAGGCAACGAUGGGUAGCCGGUCUGAGAGGAUGACCGGCCACACUGGGACUGGAACACGGCCCAGACUCCUACGGGAGGCAGCAGUGGGGAAUAUUGCGCAAUGGGCGAAAGCCUGACGCAGCGACGCCGCGUGAGGGAUGAAGGCCUUCGGGUCGUAAACCUCUGUCAGGGGGGAAGAAGUGUGCUUGUGCUAAUCAGCAGGCAUUUGACGGUACCCCCAAAGGAAGCACCGGCCAACUCCGUGCCAGCAGCCGCGGUAAU